rnacentral:rRNA from 1 species
UCGAGAAUAUUGGUCAAUGGGGGAAACCCUGAACCAGCGACGUCGCGUGUUUGAAGAAGCCCUUCGGGGUGUAAAAAACUUUUUUAAGGGAAGAACCUUCGGGUGACCGUACCUUAAGAAUAAGAGGGGGCUAACUCUGUGCCAGCAGCAGCGGUAAUACAGAGCCCUCAAGCGUUAUCCGGAUUUAUUGGGCGUAGAGAGUCUGUAGAUGGCAUGAAAAGUCUUCGGUUAAAGCUCCAGGGCUCAACCUUGGGAAUGCUGAAGAUACUUUCAAGCUAGAGGGCGUUAGGGGUUGGUAGAACGGUCGGUGUAGGGGUGAAAUCCGUUGAUAUCGACCGGAAUCCUAAAAGCGAAGGCAUCCAACUAGAGCGACCCUGACAUUGAGAGACGAAAGCGUGGGGAUCAAAAAGG